AUUGAACGCUGGCGGCAGGCCUAACACAUGCAAGUCGAGCGGAUGAAGGGAGCUUGCUCCUGGAUUCAGCGGCGGACGGGUGAGUAAUGCCUAGGAAUCUGCCUGGUAGUGGGGGAUAACGUCCGGAAACGGGCGCUAAUACCGCAUACGUCCUGAGGGAGAAAGUGGGGGAUCUUCGGACCUCACGCUAUCAGAUGAGCCUAGGUCGGAUUAGCUAGUUGGUGGGGUAAAGGCCUACCAAGGCGACGAUCCGUAACUGGUCUGAGAGGAUGAUCAGUCACACUGGAACUGAGACACGGUCCAGACUCCUACGGGAGGCAGCAGUGGGGAAUAUUGGACAAUGGGCGAAAGCCUGAUCCAGCCAUGCCGCGUGUGUGAAGAAGGUCUUCGGAUUGUAAAGCACUUUAAGUUGGGAGGAAGGGCAGUAAGUUAAUACCUUGCUGUUUUGACGUUACCAACAGAAUAAGCACCGGCAAACUUCGUG
rnacentral:rRNA from 1 species